AUUGAACGCUGGCGGCAUGCCUUACACAUGCAAGUCGAACGGCAGCGGGGGAGAAGCUUGCUUUUCCUGCCGGCGAGUGGCGAACGGGUGAGUAAUACAUCGGAACGUGCCCUGUAGUGGGGGAUAACUAGUCGAAAGAUUAGCUAAUACCGCAUACGAUCUAUGGAUGAAAGCGGGGGAUCGCAAGACCUCGCGCGAUUGGAGCGGCCGAUAUCAGAUUAGGUAGUUGGUGGGGUAAAGGCUCACCAAGCCGACGAUCUGUAGCUGGUCUGAGAGGACGACCAGCCAGACUGGGACUGAGACACGGCCCAGACUCCUACGGGAGGCAGCAGUGGGGAAUUUUGGACAAUGGGCGAAAGCCUGAUCCAGCCAUGCCGCGUGCAGGAUGAAGGCCUUCGGGUUGUAAACUGCUUUUGUACGGAACGAAAAGACUCUUUCUAAUAAAGAGGGUCCAUGACGGUACCGUAAGAAUAAGCACCGGCUAACUACGUGCCAGCCGCCGCAGUAA
rnacentral:rRNA from 1 species